AAAUUCACUUAGAUGUUAGUGGCACUUGUCCACAACAUAAUACUACUCAUGUUGUAUGACAUUCACCGAAGAUCGCUCUCGGUUGGACUAUCAUUUAUUUUGAAUAAACACAAGUCCGAAUAAUUUGCAAAAGGUUUCAAAGAAUUCAAGAAAUGUAAGUUGAUGAGUAAGAUGUCUAAAGUAUUUACCUCCUUAGAUUUGAUCCAAGGAAAGGUAACACUUUAGAACAGUUUCCUUGAAAGAUAUCAAGGAAAUAACCAUCAUAAGAUAAUGGAUUUCUCCAUUAAGAGAAGAACGAACUCAAAUAAGAUUUAGUUCGUUGGAUGUUAUC
rnacentral:lncRNA from 1 species